CCUACGGGUGGCUGCAGUGAGGAAUAUUGGUCAAUGGGCGCGAGCCUGAACCAGCCAAGUAGCGUGAAGGAUGACUGCCCUACGGGUUGUAAACUUCUUUUAUAAAGGAAUAAAGUGAAGCACGUGUGCUGUUUUGUAUGUACUUUAUGAAUAAGGAUCGGCUAACUCCGUGCCAGCAGCCGCGGUAAUACGGAGGAUCCGAGCGUUAUCCGGAUUUAUUGGGUUUAAAGGGAGCGUAGGUGGGUGGUUAAGUCAGUUGUGAAAGUUUGCGGCUCAACCGUAAAAUUGCAGUUGAUACUGGGUGCCUUGAGUGCAGCUGAGGUAGGCGGAAUUCGUGGUGUAGCGGUGAAAUGCUUAGAUAUCACGAAGAACUCCGAUUGCGAAGGCAGCCUACUAAACUGUCACUGACGUUGAUGCUCGAAAGUGUGGGUAUCAAACAGGAUUAGAUACCCUUGUAGUC
rnacentral:rRNA from 1 species